rnacentral:rRNA from 1 species
UACGCGGGGGGCAAGCGUUGCUCGGAAUUAUUGGGCGUAAAGGGCGCGUAGGCGGUCUGCUAAGUCUGAUGUGAAAUCUCUGGGCUCAACCCAGAGUCUGCAUUAGAAACUGUCGGGCUUGAGUAUGGGAGAGGUGCGUGGAAUUUCCGGUGUAGCGGUGAAAUGCGUAGAUAUCGGAAGGAACACCGGUGGCGAAAGCGGCGCACUGGACCAAAACUGACGCUGAGGCGCGAAAGCUAGGGGAGCAAACAGG